GUCGCCUUGUCCGCAGGCAGAGUUGGGAUCACACCAGCUCUUUGCUCUCCCAUCUCUCGGGUCGCCCCCUCCUGGGCCUGAAGCCCCAGGGAGAGACACCCUGCUUUGCAACCUGCGCCCCCCGGUGUACGGGGCUGUGUUUUGCUGUUGCUAUAGGGCACUUAGAGACCCCAGCCGUGGCCAAGUACGUGUCUCCAUGGUUCUCACGCCGUUCGCGGUUCCCACAACCUCCCUCACACCUGGCUGAGCUCCGGAACAACAGAAAAACAGUGCUGGGGCUGAAAACAGCCUCCUCACACCUCUGUGGUGUGUAGCUUUAGAGACGCACCUCUAAAGCCUGCAUCUUAGAGACGCUGAGACUCACAGAGGUCACGGCAUUUUCUCAGGUGUCCCCAGCUGGUGAGUAGAAAGGUAAGGGCCAGAACCCGGGUCCGCAGGCUCUCCCCCUGGUGUGUUUUUCUACGAUAGCAUUGCAUGUGCACCCGUGUACCUGGGGUUCACCUUGGAAAUGCGUCGGGCCCAGGGGGUAAAUGCACCCGGGAUUCGUGCCCACACUGGGCCUCUGAAGACUGGGUCGGAGAUUAGGAGGGUCUGUAAGAGCUCUCUUUACAGGCCAAAGCACGUGGGCUCAAUUUUCAGGGCGAGGAUGGUUAGGGGGAAUGCAGGACUUAAGUGUCACAAGGGACCCCGCUGCACCUCCUUGCAGGGCUCCGGGCACGUGGAGUCCAAGCCAGAGAGACCAGAGCAGCGUGCUGACUCCCCGCCCAAGCCUCCAUCCCAGGCCUGCCCUUCGGCUCACUGCCGUGUUUCCAAGACGUGGAAUGGGCUUACAAGGAAUGAGUCGUGGGACAUGCUACUCCUGCCUUGUCUCCCAGACCAUGGAAGUCCAGGGAUCCACAGACUCCUCCUCUAAGUCCUACAUCUCAAAAACCAUCAGCCAGACUGUGAAUUGAAGGCUUGUUUCUUAUUUGCUGAUUGGACCCAACUACUUGAAAUAGUAACUUUUCAGAAGCUCCUUCCAGAAGCCUUUGCUAACUUGCAAGCUAACUUAGACACAGCUUCUCUGGAUCUGGGACAUAUAUGUCUCCUUGUACAUAUUGCAUGGAGCAGCAUGGUUGACUUAUCUAUUGGUUUCAUCCACUCAUUGGUUCUCAACUGGACAAAAUUUUGCCUCCCAAGAUACAUCUGGCGAUGUCUGGGGCCAUUUUUGAUUCUCAGGACCAGCUGGAGAUGUGGGUUGAGGCCUGAGAUAUUGCCAAACAUUCUACAAGUCACAGAGCAGCCCCACCACAAAGAAUUAUCGGCCCAAAAUGCCACUGGCACCGUCAUCAAGAAACUCUGGGUUUCCAUUGGAUGGGGAGCUUCUUAAGGGUGGAGAACAUAUCUUACUCAUUCCUGCAUCCUUCAUACAGAAGCAACACUUUCUGAAUGGCUGAAGAAAUGAGAGAGGAAGCUAGGACCCUUCGGUCUGGCAGCUAUAAAGAACAGGUUUCCAAUAUCUCGAAAUAUUCACUAGCAAAAUUUAGCACUGAAAAAAUUCACAACCUAGAACAUUUUCAUGAAGUGGGCUAGGUUUAGUGCCUCACAGUACCCAUCCAGGGUCCCAGAGAUGGGCACAGUGGAGGGUCUGGAGUGGUGCUGAGUCCGGGAGGGUAGAGCUUCGGUGAGAAACUGGGCUUUGACACCAAAUGUGGACUAAUUUAAUUUCUGGCAUUUACAAUAUAAUCUUGAGUAAGCGGUUCUUUUCUCCUGAGUCUCUAUUUUGUCUUCUAAAAAUGGGAAUAU
rnacentral:lncRNA from 1 species